GGAAUGGCUUCGUGUCCAAGAACAAGAAACAUAAACAAUAAAGAACAAUAUACCCCUAGUUUUCCUAUAUUAGUAGAAAACAAUUUAAAGGAGAUGAAAAUGGAAAGAAGAUCAUGAAAAAAAGAAAACUCCAAAAAUGGAGCUACAAAACCGACUUCUAGGUCCAAGAUCAAUGAAAGUAGAAUAUGGAAGUCUGGAAGGAACUAUACAUUGUCCCUGACUUACGUAACAGAUAGGAAAGCUGGGAAGAAAAGUGUGGGCAACCUCCUCACAAGAGACCAGAUUAAAAGCCAGGAAGAAGGCUGGGCGUGGUGGCUCACGCCUGUAAUCCCAGCACUUUGGGAGGCCAAGGCGGAUGGAUUGCUUGAGGUCAGGAGUUUGAGACCAGCCUGGCCAACAUGCUACUUUUUUAUAUCUGUCUCAAGAACUCCAUCUCAAAGAGUAAAUUCAUAUUAUGAAGACUUUAUUCAUAAAGCAGCAGAAGUUUGGGGUUACUCAUUAUGUUAUGCCUCCUACUAACAUAGGACAUUUUGGAGAAGGAAUUCUACUACGAUUUUCCAGGAAACAUGAACUUCUGAGCCAUCUGAGACAAUACCAUCCGCUUGGACUUCCUUGACAUGAACAGAGACAUACGUGAAACUUCAAUUCAGUGAACUUGAAAGGGCACUGGAAUCUUGAUCUCCAUCUUGGUGAUGAAUUUUGGAAAAAGCUAAUUGUACAUUUAAGAUCCAGGGCUAAAUAUUGACCAUGUGACUUGGUAACUUCUGUAAGACUCAGUUUCCAAGUGAGGAACAUCCUUCUAAUGGGAAGUUCUCAAUAAAAGAAAGUAGUUUUCAUAUUUUUUGACUCCA
rnacentral:lncRNA from 1 species